CUACGGGGCGCUGCAGUGGGGAAUAUUGGACAAUGGGGGAAACCCUGAUCCAGCAAUGCCGCGUGUGUGAAGAAGGCCUGCGGGUUGUAAAGCACUUUCGGUUGGGAGGACUGCUUCUAGCACUAAUAUUGUUGGAAGUUGACGUUACCUUCAGAAGAAGCACCGGCUAACUCCGUGCCAGCAGCGCGCGGUAAUACGGAGGGUGCAAGCGUUAAUCGGAAUUACUGGGCGUAAAGCGCGCGUAGGCGGCUAGAUCAGUCGGGUGUGAAAGCCCCGGGCUUAACCUGGGAACUGCAUCCGAUACUGUCUAGCUUGAGUACAGGGGAGGAGAGUGGAAUUCCACAUGUAGCGGUGAAAUGCGUAGAUAUGUGGAGGAACACCAAUGGCGAAGGCAGCUCUCUGGCCUGAUACUGACGCUGAGGUGCGAAAGCGUGGGGAGCAAACAGGAUUAGAUACCCGAGUAGUC
rnacentral:rRNA from 1 species